rnacentral:rRNA from 1 species
UAGUAACGGCGAGUGAAGCGGGAUGAGCUCAAAUUUAAAAUCUGGCGGCCUCAGGUCGUCCGAGUUGUAGUCUAGAGAAUCGUUUUCCGCGUUGGCCUGUGUACAAGUCCCUUGGAACAGGGCGUCAUAGAGGGUGAGAAUCCCGUCCUUGACACAGAUUACCAAUGCUUUGUGAUGCGAUCUCGAAGAGUCGAGUUGUUUGGGAAUGCAGCUCAAAAUGGGUGGUAAAUUCCAUCUAAAGCUAAAUAUUGGCGAGAGACCGAUAGCGAACAAGUACCGUGAGGGAAAGAUGAAAAGCACUUUGGAAAGAGAGUUAAACAGUACGUGAAAUUGUUAAAAGGGAAACGAUUGAAGUCAGUCAUGCUUUCCGAGACUCAGCCGAUUCUGUCGGUGUACUUCUCGGUUGGCAGGCCAGCAUCAGUUUCGAUCUGUGGAAAAGGUUGGAGGGAACGUGGCAUCCUCGGAUGUGUUAUAGCCCUUCUUCGAAUACAUAGAGCGGGACUGAGGAACGCACCGCGCCUUUUAUUAGGUUGGCCCUCGGGUACAUACGCGCUUAGGAUGCUGGCAUAAUGGCUUUAAACGACCCGUCUAAAAAC